rnacentral:lncRNA from 1 species
UAAAGUUCUUCACCUUCUGUGCCUUCAAGUCGCGCUCGCUGUGGGCUUGGGUUUGCUGGGUGGGUGCUGGAAGCCAUGCCUGAUGUUCUCCUCUACCUUCUUGCCCACAGCCCCCUGUGCCCGGGAGCCAUGAGCCGCCCUCAGCGCCCGCAGAGCCUCCGGAGCAGCCCCCCGGCCGCAGCCCCCCGGCGCUGCUAGCCCUCCCUGCUCCCCCAGCAAGGUGCCCGUCUCUCCCAUCCCUCCCAAAGGUUCCUUGCCUCACCAGCAGCUCCUUGCAAGACUUCAGCUCUGGGCUGCGCGUCCAGAACUGAGCGAGGUGCCCCGCUGCUCCGCGUUGGGUCCCAUGAGACAGGCAGGACCACCCUGUCCUUCCCACCCGGGGCCGCAGCACCCCCCUCUCCCUCCGCUGCACGGGAAGCCCCUCCAGCACCCGAAACGAAGCUGCAGAGGUCUGCUGCCACGGUAAGACCUCCCUGGGCUUUUGCUUUCCUUUCUUGUGAUGCUUCUCUGCUGUAGGACAUGCUAGAGGGUUCUCCUUCCCUCCCCUCUGCAGCAGGA